rnacentral:lncRNA from 1 species
AUCAUGUAGGGGACUUGUGGGGAAUGCUUUGGGUUGUCGUAUGCAAUCAUCCAAUUCAAUAACGUUAGGAAAAAUCUGAAGGUUAAUUUAAGCGGACCUAAUUAACUUGGGGCAUUGAGAAUUCAUGGGUUAUUGAAAAGCAAUUGGAAAUCGUUUUGAAUACAAGUCUAACAUGUGUGGAGAUGAACCCCUUAGCUAGCUUUCUAUCCAUUCAAUUCAAUCAAAUUCGUUUUAAA